rnacentral:misc_RNA from 1 species
CGCAUUCAGUCAAUUAAGGAAGAGGUAUUACUUUUUAUUACUACUAAGUUGUUGUUGACUUAUUAUCUUCUAAUAAUAAUUCUUCAUAGGAAUUGUCUUUCUCAACAGUCUCUGGUUUAAAGAGUCUAAAGUCAGUCAACAAAGUUAACAAAAUGAGUUUUGAAAACAGGAAACUGGCAUGACUAUGCUGGCUUCUGAAAAUCCUCAAGGACAUUCACCUCAAAUUAUAAACUAGUGAAAUACAAG